AUUUAAAUAGUUUAAAAAAAACAUUGAUUUGUGGUAUCAAAAAUAUAAAUUUAUUUAUUUUAGAUC
rnacentral:tRNA from 1 species